rnacentral:rRNA from 1 species
UACGAGAGGUGCAAGCGUUAUUCGGAAUCAUUGGGCGUAAAGGGUGCGUAGACGGCACAUUAAGUCAACUGUUAAAUCUCCUGGCCUAACUGGGAAAAUGCGGUAGAUACUGAUAUGCUAGAGGAUGGAAGAGAGAAGUGGAAUUCUCGGAGUAGCGGUAAAAUGCGUAGAUCUCGAGAGGAACACCGAUGGCGAAGGCAGCUUCUUGGUCCAUUCCUGACGUUGAGGCACGAAAGCGUGGGGAGCAAACAGG